CACUUACACUCACACACACACAUGUUCAUCCUUAUCUACUUGUUUUUAUGUUCAAACUAUUUUACAGUGUCAUCGACGUGAUGGAGCACACACAGACACGUCUGGCUGAGGGACCUGAACACAGUGUAGGAGAGCGCUGCACUGUCUAUUAGGAAUGGCUGAAGUUUGCAUUUGCACUAAGAAUCUGAGGAUCAGAACUUGUUUCUGCUUUGCUGUUUGGUGGGAGCGGACGGCGUCUGGUUCUCACAGGAAGAAGGCAGGUAGCUGCGUCGCCAAACAGAGGAAAUCUCCCCCUCUCAGCAGGGCUCUUGGCACAUAAUGAGUGCAAUUCUCUCUCUCUCUCUUUCUCUCUCUCUCUCUCUCUCUCUCUCUCUCUCUAUAUAUAUAUAUAUAUAUAUAUAUAUAUUUCUCUGUAUCUCUCUCUUGCUCUUAAAAAAAAAGCUGUUGAUGACUUUUCACAGCCACCACACAACAUUUGACUCGAUGGUGCCAUGCACAGGAUUUACACAUGUGCUUUUAAUUGUUUUCGUGCUGUUUGCUGUGGCGGGGCCUGUCUAAUGAGCAGCAAGCCGCUUCAGCGCAGAAAACACUGUUUUGAAAUGUUUUCUUGUGUGUAACUUCAGCCUGGUGGGAAAGGCCACGAGGCAGAGAGAGAGAGAGAGAGAGAGAGAGAAUGGCAGACAGACAGACAGACAGGCCGCAUGUAUGUUCAAAUUUCACACGCGAGCAGGAAAACGCAAACACCUCCUUUCAUUAAAAACCGUCGUGCCAGUCGCCCGAAAAUCAGUAAGAUCGAAAUCAUAAAACACAGAUUAGCAUUUUGAUACUGGCUGCUCUUGCACAUCAUUUUGCUUCAAAGAAGGGAAAGAUAAAUGAUGAUGCCAUUAAAAGUGAACUAAUUAAGGAAUGCUUCUUUUAAAAACUCAUUAACGGCAGUCUCAUUUACAUAAUGAUGCAUAUUAAUUAAGUUUUAAUGAAUCUGAGCUUCAAUCAAGUCACUUUUUGGCUGUGAAACAAUUUUGACGACUGAAAAAAACAGGAAGGAAAGCCACAAUGCUUUCAAAUCUAUUUUUUCCAUAUCAAAUAAGGGGACCUGAACGACAGCAAAAAAAAAAAGAAAUAAUAAAAAAAAAGAAAAA